rnacentral:rRNA from 1 species
UACGGGGGGAACGCGAAGAACCUUACCUACUCUUGACAUCCACGGAAUUCGCCAGAGAUGGCUUAGUGCCUUCGGGAACCGUGAGACAGGUGCUGCAUGGCUGUCGUCAGCUCGUGUUGUGAAAUGUUGGGUUAAGUCCCGCAACGAGCGCAACCCUUAUCCUUUGUUGCCAGCACGUAAUGGUGGGAACUCAAAGGAGACUGCCGGUGAUAAACCGGAGGAAGGUGGGGAUGACGUCAAGUCAUCAUGGCCCUUACGAGUAGGGCUACACACGUGCUACAAUGGCAUAUACAAAGAGAAGCGAACUCGCGAGAGCAAGCGGACCUCAUAAAGUAUGUCGUAGUCCGGAUUGGAGUCUGCAACUCGACUCCAUGAAGUCGGAAUCGCUAGUAAUCGUAGAUCAGAUCCAAUACCCC